UAGCUUUGAUGCUCUCCUCUUUCAUGACCUUCAUGCAACACUCACUGAAUACUUGUCCGGACAUUAACACUGCACUCCAUCUUUCACCUCUGGUUGCGAACAUAGAAGCCAACCUAUAAUAGGUUGAUCUUACCAAGGCGGUUAUCGGCAGAUUUCGAAUUCCUUUGAAAACCCCGUUCAUGCAUUCCACAAUGUUUGUUGUCAUGUGGCCCCAUCGACGACCACCGUCAAAUGCUCUUGUCCACUGCUCUACUGGGAUGUUAUUU
rnacentral:lncRNA from 1 species